rnacentral:rRNA from 1 species
GCAUAUCAAUAAGCGGAGGAAAAGAAACUAACAAGGAUUCCCCUAGUAACGGCGAGUGAACCGGGAAGAGCUCAAAUUUGAAAUCUGGCGUCCUCAGGGCGUCCGAGUUGUAAUCUAUAGAGGCGUUUUCCGUGCCGGACCGUGUCCAAGUUCCUUGGAACAGGAUAUCAAAGAGGGUGACAAUCCCGUACUUGACACGACGACCGGUGCUCUGUGAUACGUCUUCUACGAGUCGAGUUGUUUGGGAAUGCAGCUCAAAAUGGGUGGUGAGUUCCAUCUAAAGCUAAAUAUUGGCGAGAGACCGAUAGCGAACAAGUACCGUGAGGGAAAGAUGAAAAGCACUUUGGAAAGAGAGUUAAACAGUACGUGAAAUUGUUGAAAGGGAAACGAUUGAAGUCAGUCGUGACCGAGAGGCUCAGCCGGUUCUGCCGGUGUAUUCCCCUCGGUCGGGUCAACAUCAGUUUUGUCCGGUGGAUAAGGGCGGUAGGAAGGUGGCACCCUCGGGUGUGUUAUAGCCUGCCGUCGCAUACAUCGGGUG